AUGCACGCUGGCGGCGUGCCUCAUCCAUGCAAGUCGCGCGAACGGACGAGAAGCUUGCUUCUCUGAUGUUAGCGGCGGACGGGUGAGUAACACGUGGAUAACCUACCUAUAAGACUGGGAUAACUUCGGGAAACCGGAGCUAAUACCGGAUGAUAUUUUGAACCGCAUGGUUCAAAAGUGAAAGACGGUCUUGCUGUCACUUAUAGAUGGAUCCGCGCUGCAUUAGCUAGUUGGUAAGGUAACGGCUUACCAAGGCAACGAUGCAUAGCCGACCUGAGAGGGUGAUCGGCCACACUGGAACUGAGACACGGUCCAGACUCCUACGGGAGGCAGCAGUAGGGAAUCUUCCGCAAUGGGCGAAAGCCUGACGGAGCAACGCCGCGUGAGUGAUGAAGGUCUUCGGAUCGUAAAACUCUGUUAUUAGGGAAGAACAUAUGUGUAAGUAACUGUGCACAUCUUGACGGUACCUAAUCAGAAAGCCACGGCUAACUACGUG
rnacentral:rRNA from 1 species